GGAUCUCUUGCACAGGAUUGCUUGCUUCUGGAGAGGCCAGCAUGGGUCCCAGAAAUAAGAAUGGGGAAGGACUAGGUGCCCUGGGGAGAGCCAUACUUGGACCCUGUGUUCUAGGAAACCCAUUGGCUGUAUUCAGUACAAGCUGCCUCUGUAUGAGGGAGAGGACCCUGGUAUGUUCCUCACAUGGUGGAGGCAUGUCAUCUACAUCCAUUUCCUGCCUGGGAAGAAGUCUGCCAUUGCCUACUUCAGGGGCAACAUGAACUAUCAGUACUACCAGAUGAUGAUGUUCAUGGGCCGCACCCUGAGACCUAACCCAGAUGCUGAGAGGAUCUUCAAGGAGUGUGUGAUGAGUAUAAUGCUCCAAACUGGAAGGAUAAUUAGCCCUCCCCAUGCUGAAGCCUGUGCAUUUGUCCCAGACCCCCAGUGCACUAAGGGAGUGCUGCAGUAUCCAUGCAGAAAGCAGGAGUUGGGACCUGGCUGACCCAGAGGUGCAGACAUCCACAUGCAGAACUCUCAGUGUCAAAGAGCACAGGGCCUAACACCCACUCCUCCCACAAGUCUGCAUCAAUAAAUUCGGUGGAUAUCCCUCA
rnacentral:lncRNA from 1 species